ACCCGUUAUCAAUGUUAAAUGUUAUAAAUUAAUUAAUUUGUAGUAAACCGGAUCGAUGAAGAAGCUUUCAAACUUCUACAAAAGAACAGAUUAAAGAUUUGAUUGUGCCCAUGGGUGAUCGGAGUAAAUUUGAACACAAGUAUAAAAAUUAUAUAAACAAACUGACUCAACCUACGGACGUGAAUUUUGUGGAAUAGACGAUACGCUGAAUGGGAAUAUUGACAAUUCUGGUCAGAAACCUAACAAUGAAGUUAAUUUAAUAACCAUUCCUGCAAGCCCAAGCACUUCUCACGUCUCUUACACGUCUACUGUUCCCGUUUCACUUUUAUUUGAGCAAAAUAUUGUUGAAGUUAUUUUGAACUCCUCAUUUAGAGGCAGGGAAGUAUUAGCAACAUAUAAAUACAAUCAAGCACGCGAUUACCAAAAGCUGUCGUCUAUCUUGAUUGAACAUGCUUUCGAACCAGAUCCAGAUACAAGAAUCGAUAGUUUAACUUGGAAAACGUGGGCCAACUGCUGUAGUGCACUUUUCCCCACUGAAUCUCCGGAUAUUUCUUACAAUAAAUCCAAAGAA